GCGAACUCGGAGUAGUGGCGGACGGGUGAGUACACGUGGGAACGUGCCUUAGGUUCGGAAUAACUCAGGGAAACUUGUGCUAAUACCGAAUGUGCCCUUCGGGGGAAAGAUUUAUCGCCUUUAGAGCGGCCCGCGUCUGAUUAGCUAGUUGGUGAGGUAAAGGCUCACCAAGGCGACGAUCAGUAGCUGGUCUGAGAGGAUGAUCAGCCACAUUGGGACUGAGACACGGCCCAAACUCCUACGGGAGGCAGCAGUGGGGAAUCUUGCGCAAUGGGCGAAAGCCUGACGCAGCCAUGCCGCGUGAAUGAUGAAGGUCUUAGGAUUGUAAAAUUCUUUCACCGGGGACGAUAAUGACGGUACCCGGAGAAGAAGCCCCGGCUAACUUCGUGCCAGCAGCCGCGGUAAUACGAAGGGGGCUAGCGUUGCUCGGAAUUACUGGGCGUAAAGGGAGCGUAGGCGGACAUUUAAGUCAGGGGUGAAAUCCCGGGGCUCAACCUCGGAAUUGCCUUUGAUACUGGGUGUCUUGAGUAUGAGAGAGGUGUGUGGAACUCCGAGUGUAGAGGUGAAAUUCGUAGAUAUUCGGAAGAACACCAGUGGCGAAGGCGACACACUGGCUCAUUACUGACGCUGAGGCUCGAAAGCGUGGGGG
rnacentral:rRNA from 1 species